CAAGGUUUCCGUAGGUGAACCUGCGGAAGGAUCAUUCACAAACGAGUGUUUUAUGGCACUCUUUAAAAAUCCAUAUCCACCUUGUGUGCAAUGUUUGUUGGGAAAGUCUUUUCUUUCCCUUCAUAAAUAUCAACCUAUAUCUUUAACAACAUUCGUCUGAUAACAUAUUAUGAAUAUACUUAAUUCAAAAUAUAACUUUCAACAACGGAUCUCUUGGCUCUCGCAUCGAUGAAGAACGCAGCGAAAUGCGAUACGUAAUGUGAAUUGCAGAAUUCAGUGAAUCAUCGAAUCUUUGAACGCAUAUUGCGCUCUUUGGUAUUCCGAAGAGCAUGCUUGUUUGAGUAUCAGUAAACACCUCAACCUCUCUUUUUUGAUAAAAAAAAGGGAGGGUGGACUUGAGCUAUCCCAACGACCUUCACCGGUAGGCGGGCGGCUUGAAAUGCAGGUGCAGCUGGACUUUUAUCUGAGCUAAAAGCAUAUCUAUUUAGUCCUCGUCAAACAGGAUUAUUACUUUUGCUGCAGCUAACAUAAAGGAUAAUUGUCCUCUUUGCUGACUGAUGCAGGAUUUUACGACACUUUAUGUGUUGUUCAACUCGAUCUCAAAUCAAGUAAGACUACCCGCUGAACUUAAGCAUAUCAUAAG
rnacentral:rRNA from 1 species